rnacentral:rRNA from 1 species
AGUGAACGCUGGCGGCGUGCUUAACUCAUGCAAGUCGAACGAUAACGGAUUAUAGCUUGCUAUAAUUGUCAGCUAAGUGGCGCACGGGUGAGUAAUGUAUAGGUAAUAUGCCUCUUACUAAGGGAUAACAAAUGGAAACGUUUGCUAAUACCUUAUACUCCUUAUUAACAGAAGUUAAUAAGGGAAAGAUUUAUUGGUAAGAGAUUAGCCUGUAUUGUAUCAGUUAGUUGGUGGGGUAAUGGCUUACCAAGACUAUGACACAUAACUGGUUUGAGAGGAUGAUCAGUCACACUGGAACUGAGACACGGUCCAGACUCCUACGGGAGGCAGCAGUGGGGAAUAUUGCACAAUGGACGAAAGUCUGAUGCAGCAACGCCGCGUGGAGGAUGACACAUUUCGGUGCGUAAACUCCUUUUAUAUGAGAAGAUAAUGACGGUAUUAUAUGAAUAAGCACCGGCUAACUCCGUGCCAGCAGCCGCAGUAACAC